UUAACUUCGGGAGAAGGUGCGCCCCGGUAGAUUGUAGUGGCUUGCCCACGAAGGUCGAUGGGGUUGCAGUGAAAAGGUGGCUGCGACUGUUUAACAAAAACACAGCACUCUGCAAACACGAAAGUGGACGUAUAGGGUGUGACUCCUGCCCGGUGCCGGAAGGUUAAUUGAUGGGGUGCAAGCUCUUGAUCGAAGCCCCGGUAAACGGCGGCCGUAACAAUAACGGUCCUAAGGUAGCGAAAUUCCUUGUCGGGUAAGUUCCGACCCGCACGAAUGGAGUAACGAUGGCCACACUGUCUCCACCUGGGACUCAGCGAAAUUGAAAUGGUUGUGAAGAUGCAAUCUACCCGCGGCUAGACGGAAAGACCCCGUGCACCUUUACUGUAGCUUUACAUUGGACUUUGACAAGACGUGUGUAGGAUAGGUGGGAGACUAUGAAGUGGGAACGCUAGUUCUCAUGGAGUCAACCUUGAAAUACCACCCUCGUGUUGUUGAGGUUCUAACCUUGGUCCAUCAUCUGGAUUGGGGACAGUGUAUGGUAGGCAGUUUGACUGGGGCGGUCUCCUCCCAAAGAGUAACGGAGGAGUUCGAAGGUAUCCUAGAUACGGUCGGAAAUCGUAUUGAUAGUGCAAUGGCAUAAGGAUGCUUGACUGCGAGACUGACACGUCGAGCAGGUGCGAAAGCAGGACAUAGUGAUCCGGUGGUUCUGUAUGGAAGGGCCAUCGCUCAACGGAUAAAAGGUACGCCGGGGAUAACAGGCUGAUACCGCCCAAGAGUUCAUAUCGACGGCGGUGUUUGGCACCUCGAUGUCGGCUCAUCACAUCCUGGGGCUGUAGCCGGUCCCAAGGGUAUGGCUGUUCGCCAUUUAAAGUGGUACGUGAGCUGGGUUCAAAACGUCGUGAGACAGUUUGGUCCCUAUCUACCGUGGGCGCUGGAAGUUUGAGGGGGGCUGCUUCUAGUACGAGAGGACCGAAGUGGACGCACCUCUGGUGUACCGGUUGUCACGCCAGUGGCAUAGCCGGGUAGCUAUGUGCGGAAAAGAUAAUCGCUGAAAGCAUCUAAGCGAGAAACUUGCCUCAAGAUAAGACUUCCCUGGAGACUUGAUCUCCCUAAAGGGUCGUUGCAGACCACAACGUUGAUAGGCUGGGUGUGUAAGCGCAGUAAUGCGUUGAGCUAACCAGUACUAAUUGCCCGUGAGGCUUGAUCCG
rnacentral:rRNA from 1 species